rnacentral:lncRNA from 1 species
AUGGACAGGCAGCUGGGACCUAGGAGAACCAAGAGGAGGGUGCGGGUGGGCUCUUCCCCAGCCCCCACCUGCGUUCACCUGACUGACACCCACACCCCGCCCCCCACGGUGCUCGCAGCAGCCCCGGGCCUGCAACUGCCGCCCCUCCCGCUGCUUUUGUUGUUCCUGGGUGCUUGGCGGAAGCCUGUGGAUGAUGCAGUCCCCAGGGCUCCACGUUCUCACUUCACCUUCCCCACAGCCUGUCCUGAUGCAAUGGCUGCAGGCUGGGGGCAGGGGUGGGGGGCCCUCCCUGCAUCACCCCCUCCCUAUACACACACACACACACACACCCUCCCGGCAUCACCCUGUCCCUACACACACACACACACAUACCCUGCCACCAACCCCACCUCCAAUUCCUCCCUUCUGCUCACCCAUCACCCAUGCCCGGGAGAAGCGCUGGACCAGUGCUGAGGGGUUCUCCACGUAACGUACUGGAUAAAGCCAGUGCGGGGACCUCUGGAGCCUGUGCAACCUUGGUGGCAAAUAUCUGAUCGGCCAGCCCCUGGGACAAGUGGACCCACCAGUGAUGGGGCCCCGAGGACAAGAGGCACGCCUGGUGCCCAGCCGAAUAAUUUAUGCCUUGACCUGGUUUUGAGGUAGGAAUGAAAGGGGAUCCAUCAAAGGCAUCUGUCCCCUGACACACAGUACGACCUUUACUGUCGUAAAUAUUUUUAAGAAAAUUUUAAAAAUACAGUGUUUAAAAACAACCAAGAGGCUGCCAUCCUUUUGUGGGCAGAACAUGUCCUAGCGAGCUGCGCUCUGACAACGAGAGGCGGAUGAGGGGCUCCUGUCAGGAAGGGGCAUGUCCACCCCUCGCUCCCUACAGCAUCCCCUGCCAGGGCCACCUGUCUGGGGUGGGCAGCUCAGUGAUGGGGUCCUCCCUCCCUCCCACGCCCACUGUUCCUUCUUUAGCCAGUGUAGAUGGUUGAAAGCACAUAUCCCUAUAGCUUCUACCCCUUCGUUCCCUCUCUUUUCUCCCAGAUUUCUCUAGGCUGACAUCUCAGGGCCGAUUUUCAGACCCUGACUUCCAGUUUCCUCACCUUGCUAUUCUCAUGCCGCUGGAAUCCCAAGAAACCAGGAGAACCUCAGAAAUUAUUUGGUCCCUUUCCCCCAUAGAGGAGGACACUCAGAACCAGAGAAAUUAAGAGCGAGCCCCUGGUUCCACAGCAAAUUCCAGACGAAUUUCAGGACUGGUGUCCCUCAGGCCACACUGUCACUCUCACCCAGCCGUAGACGGGUUUGAUCUGAAGAGGUAGAAGGAAUUGAUAUGCAGUCACUUCUGAUUUGUCAUGGGAAUAUUUUUUCCUCAAAUGGUGAAACCAAAAUCAGAAGGUAGCAUUUAAAAAUCAUACUUCAUUUGAGUCAUCACCCUCAUAAGUGGAGUAUGACCCCACACCCAAAAGUGCAUUGUUUGGUAGCAAGUCUUCUGUAGAACACCAUCGACUGAGAAUGCUUUCAUAUGAAACCUUUUGGAAACUGGCAUUCACAUUUUAAAAAUCUGCCUUGUGCUGUCACACCACAGGCCACACAAUCUAUCAAUAGAUCAGAUGCAGCCCAGAAGUCACUGAAAUGCAACCCCUGGACUCAGAGGCCAUGUUUAUCUCUGGGAUGUCACAGUCCCUCCAUGCCCCCCGCUACCUGAGGCAAAGAACAGCUAAAGGGUCAAAAGGUAGAAAAAGUGGGAGGCUUGUCUGAAUCUUCAGGGCCUUCAGCCCUCACACUGUGCUGCUCUCGUCUUCUCUAUCUUAGCAGUUCUCUCUUUCUGAAAUCAUUUGCUGUGGGGUGUAAGUAUCUUAAGGCACGACUGCCCUUAAGAGUGCUGGUGGGACAAGCAGGA